GUAGGAACAGGAUUUGACGUGCUGCGGCUCUCCCUAAAACCGGUGUGAUCCUACCACAGUGGGAGUCUGGGGGAUUAGCAGCACGUCAUUACACAGCUCUUCGAGCAGUAUGAAUCGGCCUCGUACACGAUUUGGGAGAGUCACAAGCUAGUGACAAAUAUUUGUUCUCUUUAAUUAUGGGUAGCAUGGGAGGACAGCCCAGGUCGCUGCAGCUCUCCUCCCCCAUCACUCUGACAGCUUCAACACCACCUGCUCUUGGAGCAAACAGAAGCUGACACAGGUGAAAUCCAUGCUGAUUUUGGGGCUGGACUUCACAGCCAUGUAAUGUGAGAGCACGUGCUUUAUUUCUACGUACUGGCAAGGAAGCUGGGCACACCUAAGACAUCACCGUCAUUCCUGUUCAUUUGCCUUUUAGAAGAAGUCAGGCAGAGAGGAGUGAAGGGGGCUGUACCUGCUGUGUGUUGUGAAACUCCACCAGAAGAAGGCAAAGCCGUACUUGGAGCUGCAGAAUAACGCCCUGUCCUUCUGCCCAGCUCAUGGUCUGCUCAGCACAGGUCAACACCGGACAGGUUUGGGCACCAGCAGGGACAGGUUUGCUGGAGUUUCACAUGGAAAAAGCGUCACAGCAGCAGUGAUGAACGUACAGUCCUGGAUGCCGUAAUUGUCUGGGAGAGCUACCAGCCAAACAUCUACCACCCUGCUCUUUCCGAGACAGACAUGGGCUAUGGGCAGUCCUGUUCUGUUCAUAGCAGAGUCUGCAGAGAACUGGGGUCCUGAUCCACACCAGGGGCUCCGUGGGCAGUUGCAAUGCAAAUAAUAAUAGGUACAGAUGAUACAUCUGAUCAAGAACAGAUUUAAGACUUUGAAAAUCAGGAUUGGUGCUGUUCCUGCACAGAGAGUAUGCACAGAGAUUUGUCUAAAUUUUGCCCUCAGUAGUCCAACAAUUUAGGCUUUAUAAAAUGUUUCUCCUCCUUAUAAGCAGCCCCUGCAAACCCCUGGAAAGACCAUGACCAGAAUAUAGAUACUGUUAUGCAUAUUCAGUAUUUAAUACCUUUGAGUUUUUCUGCUAACAUUUGUCUUUUUUUAUGACUCUUCUCACACAGCCAGAUUUCAAAAGACUGAUUUAGAGAACCCUUAAUAGGCAAAUUAUUAAGUUGUUCUAUGAAAAAGAAAAGCCUCCUUCUAAAAUGCUCUUUGAGAUGGCUAACACCCCACUGCUUUUAUCAUUGUCUCAAAAGGUGGAGCAACCCUACCAUGAUUAAUUUUUCAUGCACUGGGUAGGAAGGGAUAAUUAGAGUGCUCUUCAUACAGAUUGUCUGCAACUGCUUUCUAAUUAACUAAUUGACUACAGAGCUAAUGAGAUUCAAAAUUAAUUUUUAUAUUCGAAUUUGGCCAGACCUAUUUUAAGAACCGUGAAGACAGAUUGGCCAGAAGCUUUCAUUUGAUGUCAAAUAGAGCGUUUUUUUUGGAAAUACUGUUAUAUUAUCUCCUGGGUGAGUAUUUUGCAAUGGCUUUUGCCUCUACCUAGUGGCUGAAAGAUGAAAUGCAUGGUUCUUUUUUUUUUUUUUCCUCUUUUGGUGGGAAUUCUGCAAUAAGAAAAUAUAUCAGAAGAAAAUAUAUAGAAACAUGAAACCCACGCUAAGCUAUGGCUAUCUCUGGACUCACUUUUGCCCAUUCCACAGUCUGUUGAAAAAAAAAAAUGUUGUAUAGGAUUUGUGUUGUGGAUAUGUGAAUAAAUAUGGUGUAUUUAUAGAGC
rnacentral:lncRNA from 1 species